rnacentral:rRNA from 1 species
UACGAAGGGGGCUAGCGUUGCUCGGAAUCACUGGGCGUAAAGGGUGCGUAGGCGGGUCUUUAAGUCAGGGGUGAAAUCCCGGAGCUCAACAUCCGGAACUGCCUUUCUGAUACUGAGGAUCUUGAGUUCGGAGAGAGUGAGUGGAACUGCGAGUGUAGAGGUGAAAUUCGUAGAUAUUCGCAAGAACACCAGUGGCGAAGGCGGCUCACUGGCCUCGAUACUGACGCUGAAGGUGCGGAAAGCAGUGGGGAGCAAACAGG